rnacentral:rRNA from 1 species
UACAGAGGUCUCAAGCGUUGUUCGGAUUCAUUGGGCGUAAAGGGUGCGUAGGUGGCGCGCUAAGUCAGGUGUGAAAUUUCGGAGCUUAACUCCGAAACUGCAUUUGAUACUGGCGUGCUUGAGGACUGGAGAGGAGACUGGAAUUCAUGGUGUAGCAGUGAAAUGCGUAGAGAUCGGGAGGAACACCCGUGGCGAAGGCGGCUCACUGGGCCGGUCCUGACGCUGAGACGCGAAGGCUAGGGGAGCGAACGGG